GACGUAGGAUGCAAGCGUUGUCCGGAUUUAUUGGGCGUAAAGAGUUCGUAGGCGGUUUGUUAAGUCUGAUGUUAAAGACUGGGGCUCAACCCUGGGAGUGCAUUGGAUACUGGCAGACUCGAGUGCAGUAGAGGCAAGCGGAAUUCCAGGUGUAGCGGUGAAAUGCGUAGAUAUCUGGAAGAACACCGGUGGCGCAAGCGGCUUGCUGGGCUGUAACUGACGCUGAGGAACGAAAGCUAGGGGAGCAAACAGG
rnacentral:rRNA from 1 species